rnacentral:tRNA from 1 species
GCCGCCCUAGCUCAGUUGGUAGAGCACGUCUUUCGUAAAGACGGGGUCCCCAGUUCAAUCCUGGGGGGCGGCU